rnacentral:rRNA from 1 species
CAAUAGCGUAUAUUAAAGUUGUUGCAGUUAAAAAGCUCGUAGUUGGAUUUCUGGUUGAAGCGACCGGUCGGGCGUUGAUUCGUCUGCACUGGAGUCGGUUUUGGCCAUCCUCUAGGAAAGUGCGUCUGGUAUUAAGUUAUCGGGCGUAUGAUCCUGGUCUUUUACUGUGAAAAAAUUAGAGUGUUUAAAGCAGGCCUUCGCCUUGAAUACAUUAGCAUGGAAUAAUAAGAUAGGACUUUGGUCUAUUUUGUUGGUUUGCAGACCGAAGUAAUGAUUAAUAGGGAUAGUUGGGGGUAUUUAUAUUCCGAUGUCAGAGGUGAAAUUCUUAGAUUUUCGGAAGAUGAACUUAUGCGAAAGCAUUUACCAAGGAUGUUUUCAUUAA